GUGGAGAACAGAUAAAUGGUCUUGAAGAAAUAUAUCGAAUCAUACUAACACAUGAACCUGUGUGCAAUGGGCAGUACAGAACAAAAACAGAUUCAUGAAGUGAACUAACCUGAAGCAACACUGUAGGAGUCUCAUCCAACAGAAGUACUGUCGGAGAAAUCUGAUAGUUAUAUGACAAGCAGAGCCUUGUUAAAGCUGUUCCUUUUGAGUGGGAAAAUCAUCUUACCCAGCACAACUCUAUGACUCCCUGUUUCCAAUGUCAUCAUAUGAAGCUCCUAAGUUAUGGUUGAUCAUAGAAUCUUUGGAUGACUGAGAAGCAUUGCCAGGUUCU
rnacentral:lncRNA from 1 species